GACGAACGCUGGCGGCGUGCUUAACACAUGCAAGUCGAACGCUGAAGACCUGGCUUUUGUUGGGUCGGAUGAGUGGCGAACGGGUGAGUAACACGUGAGUAACCUGCCCCCUUCUUUGGGAUAACGCCCGGAAACGGGUGCUAAUACUGGAUAUUCACUGGCCUUCGCAUGGGGGUUGGUGGAAAGGUUUGUUCUGGUGGGGGAUGGGCUCGCGGCCUAUCAGCUUGUUGGUGGGGUGAUGGCCUACCAAGGCUUUGACGGGUAGCCGGCCUGAGAGGGUGACCGGUCACAUUGGGACUGAGAUACGGCCCAGACUCCUACGGGAGGCAGCAGUGGGGAAUAUUGCACAAUGGGCGAAAGCCUGAUGCAGCGACGCCGCGUGAGGGAUGGAGGCCUUCGGGUUGUAAACCUCUUUCGCUCAUGGUCAAGCCGCAACUGUGGGUUGUGGUGAGGGUAGUGGGUAAAGAAGCGCCGGCUAACUACGUGCCAGCAGCCGCGGUAAUACGUAGGGCGCGAGCGUUGUCCGGAAUUAUUGGGCGUAAAGGGCUUGUAGGCGGUUGGUCGCGUCUGCCGUGAAAUCCUCUGGCUUAACUGGGGGCGUGCGGUGGGUACGGGCUGACUUGAGUGCGGUAGGGGAGACUGGAACUCCUGGUGUAGCGGUGGAAUGCGCAGAUAUCAGGAAGAACACCGGCGGCGAAGGCAGCCCUCUGGGCCUUCACUGACGCUGAGGCGCGAAAGCUGGGGGAGCGAACAGG
rnacentral:rRNA from 1 species